rnacentral:tRNA from 1 species
GGGCGAUUAGCUCAGUUGGUAGAGCGCUUCGCUUACACCGAAGAUGCCGCGGGUUCGAGUCCUGCAUCGCCCACCA